rnacentral:rRNA from 1 species
AUUGAACGCUGGCGGAAUGCUUUACACAUGCAAGUCGAACGGCAGCACGGACUUCGGUCUGGUGGCGAGUGGCGAACGGGUGAGUAAUGUAUCGGAACGUGCCCAGUCGUGGGGGAUAACGUAGUGAAAAUUACGCUAAUACCGCAUACGAUCUAUGGAUGAAAGCGGGGGAUCGCAAGACCUCGCGCGAUUGGAGCGGCCGAUAUCAGAUUAGGUAGUUGGUGGGGUAAAGGCCCACCAAGCCAACGAUCUGUAGCUGGUCUGAGAGGACGACCAGCUAAACUGGAACGGAGACACGGGCCAGACUCCUACGGGAGGCAGCAGUGGGGAAUUUUGGACAAUGGGCGAAAGCCUGAUCCAGCCAUUCCGCGUGCAGGAUGAAGGCCCUCGGGUUGUAAACUGCUUUUGUACAGAACAAAAAGGUUUCUACUAAUACUAGGAGCUCAUGACGGUACUGUAAGAAUAAGCACCGGCUAACUACGUGCCAGCCGCCGCGGUAA